CUGGACUCGCUCCCGUAACCACUGUGAACCUACCCCUCGUUGCCUCGGCGGGUGCUCCGGCGCGUCCGGAGCGCUCCCCCGCCGGCGGCCCACGACCCUGUCUCGCGCGUUGGCAUCUCGAGAAGACCAAACGAAUCA
rnacentral:misc_RNA from 1 species